rnacentral:lncRNA from 1 species
UAAUUUAUUAAUUUUAAAUCUAAUUUUUUAUUAAUCUUAUUUUUUUCUUUCCUCCUACUUUCUUUUAUUUUCUUUCUCCCACCUUUUUCCUAACCAAACAUAAUCUAUCUUCUCUCUUUUUCCUUCCUUAUACUCUCUGAAACCAAACAUAAUCUUAAAGUCAGGCAUCUCCCGCGAUAGUCAAACUAAUGCACUAAUGCUUUAACUAAAUUUCUAAAGUUUUGGUAAACAGCCAACCACCACUGCACACGGAAUUUCGCUUAAAUCAUACUGUUUUCAGACUCAAACCUCUGUGAUUUCAAACAAUAGUUCCAACUUCCAAUGGGAAAAUACUUCACGUCAGAAUCCACGAAAAAACGGGGAGUGAGGUAGAAUAAGAUUGAUACUUGCUGGAGUUUCUUUGAUGGGGGAUAAUGGCCUUUGACUAUUGGGAAGAUGAUGAUGUAGUGGUGGGCUGGAAGGAUCACGAUGGAAUUUUCUACUCUUUUCAAGCUCCACGAUCUGUCUGUAAUCGGCCUCUACUCCUAAUCCAUUAUCAACUCUUUUUUUUAUACAACUUGCGUCGUGUUUUUUGGGUUGUUUGGAAAAGUGGUUCCAAAUCCAUUGGAGCGUAGGAUUUGAAACCUGAAAGCGAUUGUGUAAGUGGAUAGGAUUAAAGAGAGAUGAUGAAUGGAAUGAACACUUGAACGAGUCUUCAAGUGUUUUUGGUCAGCCAAGGGCAUUUAAAGAUCAGUCCUACCUCAUGAAUCUUUUUCACCCCUUGAUUUGUGUCUAUCUGCGAUGAUUGAGAAUUUAAACUUGAGGGAAAAAAAAAUUAAUAAUUAAAAUCAAUAAAUUAUUUUAUAUACUUUUUAAAAAAUAUUUCACUUAUUUUACUUUAUGAUUAAAUAAUUUUUUAAUACAUAAAUUUUUAACUAAUUUUAAUUAUAUAUACAUAAUUUUUUAAUAUAAAACCAAAUAUGUAAAUACUAUUUUCUUUAACAUUUGUUUUUUCUUUUCAUAACAUUUGUCAUAAACCGCACAUAGCCUCAAGGUAUGAGGUUGUUCAAGAUCAAGA